CUGAUCUUCAAUUCAUUGUUUUGUGAAUUCACUAAAGGAAUUAAAGAAACUCUCCAAGCACCAUAACUGCUGCAGAAGGCUGUAGUAGUUAUGGUGUCAUGAGUGCCCUGUCCCCGUGUAAGUAUUCACAGCGCUUGCUAACACUUUGACAACUUACCUGGGAUCCUCCAGGAAUUGCUAGUUUCCCGAAAUGUUAUGUUCUGUCUUCU